UCAUGCAUGUGAGCAGCUGUACAACUCCAUUCAGCAGCAUUGAGAGAUCGACUUUUCUGGAAUAAGAUAAGAGCUGUGAUGGAGCAGCAGCCCUGAUCCCAACAGCAAUGCAGAAUGAACAGCUUGGCAAAAAUCCAGUUCAACAUCUAUUUGAUGAUGAUGGCGGUGAUGCUGAAAAGAGAAAAGAGGUUGAAGAACACAAUGGUGGCUGCGCAGCAUAUCAGCUCAUAGAAGAUAAGGAAGAUUUUUCCAUUGAGAGUAGCAGGUGCUGCCAUCCCGAAACCUGAUGUGGACACAGAAAUGUACUGUAGCUAAUGAAGGAGAAUUGUGCAAACCCUGCAGUCACAUUUAAGACAAUUUAGACACAAUAUUGCCAGUUAAGCCUCAUUCACACCAAGAAGGGUGACUGUAAAUAUAACUAUAACAAUAACUAUAAUUUUAGUGUCCACACCAAAUAAGUGACCAUUUAAAGUGGCGGAUGACAAAAUUAAAGAAUGAGAUUAUAAUAAAGAGAAUAUUAUCAUCCGUUGGUGUGGACA
ensembl:lncRNA